CCGGGCCCCUCUUAUCUCCUGCCAGACACUGAUAGUGCUGAAGAAUGUCCUGGCAUGCCUCCAGCCCCCAGCCCUGGCACCAUGCCCGGACAAACCGAACAAACAAACCUCCCUCCGAUAGCAUGUGCGCCUGAAGCCAGCCACGAGCUGGGAUUACCAACAGCUGGAGAUGAAACGAUGCAAUGGAUAGAUCCACGCUUCCGGAGAAUGGAGAGGCGACGUCACCAAAUGGAAGGGAGGGGCAGGCCUGGAUAAGUGCUGAGUCAUGGAGCCACACCCCAUGGCCUAUAUAAAGGAUCUGCUUUCUGGCAUUCUCUGAGUCAGGCAAAGUCUAAUCUGGAUUGCUGAAGUCACAUCUUGGAUUCCUGCCUGCCCUGAGGACUCUGAUAGGACUUUGGCAGAGCUGCAGAGGCACACUUGAUACGGACUUCCCCGACCCGGCCGUCAGAGGAGGAGUGGGACACGACACUGUGUCUAAGAUUAAAUACAAUGCAGUUGCCGCUGCAUCUCCAUUAGCACCACUUGAGGCAAUUCAGAAGAGGAUAAACUAUGCCAGUUUAAAGGGGAGCCAAACUGAGGACAAAAACUUUGCUUCAUCAUCGUGCAGCCAGGAUAUGCUGAGCGGAUGGCAUGUCACAGGAAAAACUCAGUUUCUGCUGUUGGAAAUGGAGAAGUGAAUAAAUCUCAAUCUUGACUAUUGCAAUGCCAAGACCAGAGUGAAUGCUUGUUUACUUUCUUAGAAUUAGUUACUGAUUUUUGGAGAAAGAAGAUUCAAAGAAGGGUGGAGUAGAGAUGGUAUAAAUGGUUCUCUGUGAAAUGUGCUUUCUACGAUAUCCCCAAAUGGAAUUUGUUUAUGUGAGGAAAAAUGACAGAUAUUAUAAAAAUAGACAAAGUAGCUCUUCUUUCACACGCGCACACACACACACUGCACAUAUCACUCUUUAGUCCAAAUUUAAUUUACAGACCCUAUUCAUGUGUGAAGGAAUAGGAAAAGUUUUCUUUUUUUAACCAUGUGAUUGCAACUCUCCAUUAUUGUGGAGUAAUGUCCGCUUGCUCCAUACAUGGUGGCAGAGACAUUCAACUUUUCCCACUUUGGAGGGGAAGAAUCCUCUCCCCUCCUUUCUACAGAAAGGAUUGGAAAAACCGAAAUAGCACAUCAAAUUUCCUUUUGUAGAUUUUUCCACAUACGCCUUCAUGCUUGUUGGCGAUUUGGGACUUGUAGUUUCCAUGCAUCCAGACAGUACAGAAAUAGAUAAGGCCUUUAGGUCCCUUGGUCACUAAUUGAAUAAAAGGAGUCAGUACAAUUGUAUCAAAAGGAGAGUCAGAGGUCAUUGCCUGUAUCAGUGGUGAAAUCCUCUGAAGUCUGCUACUGGUUCUGUGAGUCUGCUACCAAGCAUGUGCUUUGCCCGCAUGCGUGGCUGAGGCGCGCCCACGCAGCACUAAAAGAGGAACAUUUUGAAGCCUUCCGAGUCUGCAAAAGUAAGUAAAACAGCAGGGGGAGA